AGAAUGAACGCUGGCGGCGUGCUUUACACAUGCAAGUCGAGCGAGGCGGGGGAGCAAUCCCCCAGUCGAGCGGCGAACGGGUGAGUAACGCGUGGAUGACCUGCCCUUUAGUGUGGAACAACCGGGGGAAACUCCGGCUAAUACCGCAUACGACCGAGAGGUGAAAGGGGACUCGCAAGAGCUCUCGCUGGAGGAGGGGUCCGCGUCCGAUUAGCUGGCUGGGUGGGGUAAUGGCCUACCAGGGCGACGAUCGGUAGCCGGCCUGAGAGGGUGAUCGGCCACACUGGAACUGAGACACGGUCCAGACUCCUACGGGAGGCAGCAGUGGGGAAUUUGCGCAAUGGGCGGAAGCCUGACGCAGCAACGCCGCGUGGAGGAUGAAGGUCCUUGGAUUGUAAACUCCUGUCAGCGGGAAAAAGGACAUGACCUCAUACGUCGUGAACUUGAUUGUAGCCCGACAGAAGGAACGACCCCGGACUAACCGUCUGUCGCCCAAGCCAAGCCCGACGGUAACUUCG
rnacentral:rRNA from 1 species